rnacentral:rRNA from 1 species
GCUACACCUCUCUCUCCCUCACCUCUCCUCCAGCUCCGGCCGCUGCCACGGCCAGGCCGGCGUGGUGGUGCGCCUCCCAUCCAUCAGCGCCGCAAGCCAUCACCAUCUCCAUCCAUCUCCACGCACCAUCCAUCAACGCCGCCACCAGCGCCGCAUCACCACCUCGCACCCCCAGCACAUCACACCACGAGCUCCUCACUGAACCUCCUGCCACCGAUCUGAAGCUCUUGUUCUUCUCUCAACGCCCCUGAUGCUCCUUCUCCUUGCACCUCCUUGUUGCUGCUCUUCCCCUCCUUUUCUGCUACUCAAAUCUCUCUGCUGCUCCCUCACGCUCCUGCCUGCCGCUGCUCUUUCUCUAACCUCCCCACGCCUCUGCUCUGCUUCCUCACCUCCAUUGCUGCUCCCUUCUUCUCAACGUGACCUGCUGCCGCACCUUCUGCUCCUUAUCUCCUUCUUCAACCUGCUGCUGCUCGCCCUCAACCCUCUCUGCUGCUUUUCUUCUCCCUCAACGCCUGCUGCUGAUUCCUCUCAACGCCCCCUACUACUUCUUUCUUCUUCCACCUGCUGCUGCUUCUCUUUAGAUCCACAAAAACUGCUGCUGCUGCUCUCUCUCUCUCUCUCUGAAUUUUCUAUAAGCUAAGAUGUGUAAAAUUUUGUAAUAUUCAGAUUUUUAAGAGUGUUGGCAACAUGUAGCUUGUUCUGUUUGGUACUUGUAAUAUAUAAUGCUUGUCUUGAAUUUCUGUAGGCUGUGAGAAAUAAUUGUCCUUGAAAUCUUGCUCUGUGAUUUAGUAACCUUCUAGUAUAUUUGUGUGAUCACCUUGUGUACUAGUCCCUGUACUAGUUCUCUGUACUUAUCCUAUUUGUAGUCUCUGUGUGUGUUAGCUCUAGUACCUGUGAUAUGUAUGAGUGUUUGUGUUGUGAUAUAUUUCUG